rnacentral:RNase_P_RNA from 1 species
AUGGAAAGUCCGGUGCUUUUUAAUCAUAUAAGUUAUUUUCUUAUUGUGGCAAUCCACUAAGCAAAUAUAAACAUAACAGAAUUAUGCGGUAAUUAAGGAUAAAAAUCCUGGAUUUAAAAAGAAAAUAUAAGCAUAGAGAUAAAUGUAAAUGCCUUUUAUCUCUAUUGAUAGUGAAAUAAGAAUCCUAUGAUAAGCUUUAAUUAGACUAACAGUUUAAUCAACUAAACAGAAUUCGGCUUAU